GCCAAGUUAGCUUGGUUGGUAGAGUGUCUGCCUUGUAAGUGCUACGCCGCGGGUUCAAUUCCCGCCCGGGGCG
rnacentral:tRNA from 1 species